rnacentral:rRNA from 1 species
UACGGAGGGUGCAAGCGUUAAUCGGAAUUACUGGGCGUAAAGCGUGCGCAGGCGGUUUGUUAAGUCCGUUGUGAAAGCCCCGAGCUCAACUUGGGAAUUGCAGUGGAUACUGGCAGGCUGGAGUACGGUAGAGGAAGGUGGAAUUCCCGGUGUAGCAGUGAAAUGCGUAGAUAUCGGGAAGAACACCUGUGGCGAAAGCGGCUCACUGGACCAUAACUGACGCUGAGGCGCGAAAGCUAGGGGAGCAAACAGG